GUCUAUGGCCACACCACCCUGAACGUGCCCAAUCUCGUCUGAUCUCAGAAGCUAAGCAGGGUCAGGCCUGGCUAGUACUUGGAUGGGAGACCCAGAAAACUAUAUUCCUAAGAGCUGUACAUA
ensembl:rRNA 5S_rRNA 5S ribosomal RNA